GCUUGUGGGCUGCCGCCCGCCGUUGCCUCUUCCACAGAGGCUUGAAGAUAACCAACUGGAGGCAGAGAGGUGGGCAGAAUCUCCGUCUUUUUCACAACAGAUGCAUUCAACAAUUCACAGAAGUCUGGCCUCCAGCGCUGGGUGAACUCGGUUUGGGUGUCACUCGACGCCCACUAGGGGCUGAGGAGGCUCCAGUGCGCAGACUCCGGGCACCGGAUAAAAGCGGAGCUGGAGCGUCCAGCGCCGUCUCGAUGGAGGAGCGAGAAACGGAAGAGGUCGGGGGGAGAAGCAGCAGGAAAAGUACAGCCACCGUCAGCGCCGCUUUCCUGCCACCGUGUAUCGGGGACUCCUAAGUCUGAGCCUCUUACCCUCUAAGUCUUUGCCCCUUCAAACACUAAGCAUCCAUAACUCAGACUGAAUAAUACCUUCAAACAGCACAGUUCCCACUGUGGAGUGAAAUCAUCUGAUCGCAACAUGGGUUGAAGAGUUGGAAGUUCCUUACACUUUAGAACAUUUAACUUGUAUGUAAAUUACACUACAAUAACAAAAACCAAAAUGGAAUAUUUUAUGAUAUGGAAACACAAGCAAUAUGUAGUUUAAUGAAAUUACAUGUACAAUGUAAUCUUAUUUUUGCAAAAAUGUGUAUGGAUAGGAUCAGAAUAUUAAUUUCCUCUAGGUCUUUUUAAGGGUUUUAUGAUGAUGUAUUGUUCUUGUAAUAGUGUAAAGGAAAAGUUCUUUUGUAAACUUUAUGAAGAUGGAUUGUAAGAGAUGUAAACUUGAUAAAAGAUGGAUAUUCUGUUAACUCCUCAGUUUUCAAAGAAAUUGUCAGUUUGAUAAAUCAAGAAAUAUAAACAUUAUGUAGAUAUCUGGAGUUACUGCUAAAAGAUAAUGCCUCUUCAGUUUGAGUUUGAAGAUGGGGUCUUGUUCCUUUUCAUUUUAAGCUCUUGGAUAUGGAUUUUUUUUAAUAAAAUAUAUGCAUGUUUUACUUUGCUAAA